rfam:Endosymbiont of unidentified scaly snail isolate Monju DNA, complete genome.
UGGGAGUAUCCUGGUGGCAGGGUUCGAACCGUAGGGGUUCGACAGAGGCGCGCAGCGCCGGAGCGCGCCGCCGCAGGCGGCGGCCCGAAGGGCCGGGGCGAAGCCGAGCCAUCCUGCCACCCCAGCCA